CACGUAGGGGGCGAGCGUUGUCCGGAUUUAUUGGGCGUAAAGAGCUCGUAGGCGGUUUGGUAAGUUGGAUGUGAAAUCUCCAGGCUCAACUUGGAGGGGUCAUUCGAUACUGCCAUGACUAGAGUUCGGUAGGGGAGUGUGGAAUUCCUGGUGGAGCGGUGAAAUGCGCAGAUAUCGGGAGGAACACCGGUGGCGAAGGCGGUUCUCUGGGCCUGUACUGACGCUGAGGAGCGAAAGCGUGGGGAGCGAACAGG
rnacentral:rRNA from 1 species